rnacentral:rRNA from 1 species
UACGUAGGGUGCGAGCGUUGCUCGGAAUCACUGGGCGUAAAGGGUGCGUAGGCGGGUCUUUUAAGUCAGGGGUGAAAUCCUGGAGCUCAACUCCAGAACUGCCUUUGAUACUGAGGAUCUUGAGUUCGGGAGAGGUGAGUGGAACUGCGAGUGUAGAGGUGAAAUUCGUAGAUAUUCGCAAGAACACCAGUGGCGAAGGCGGCUCACUGGCCCGAUACUGACGCUGAGGAGCGAAAGCGUGGGGAGCGAACAGG